rnacentral:tRNA from 1 species
GGUUGCUCCCUGGGGGCAUGUCUGUCUUGAAAAUAGACUAAAAGUGUUCAAUUCACUUCGCAACCU